UGCAAAUACACGCUGUUUUGUGUUCAGGUAAUUGCUUUGGAAGCUUGUGAAACUAAAUUUCCAUUAAUGAAAAGGAGUGCAUUCGGACAUAGGUAAAACUUAAAAUCUAUUUCGCAACCUUUUUUUCCACAGGAGUUUAUCUAUUAAACGCGAUAUAUUUCAACAGUUUUGUUGCGUAAGUAUAAUUCUGAUGUUUACAUUCAUCUGAAACACAAUAUGUACAAGUUUUAACUUAUCGAGAUAAAUUCACGGAAGGACUUUAAACGCGAAAAAAUAGGAAAAAUCGGAAUUCAUGGGCAUUUUCACUUAAUUAAAAUAACGAUGUUUUCACUUUUAAAAGUUUCUCUCUUACAUUUUUGUCACCAAUAAAUUCGAAUAAAGAUGAACAACGAAGAGCAAACACUUCAAAGAAAAAAUAAAUGAUUUCAGCCGUGAGAUUUCUUUAUAAUUUAUUUAUACCUGAACCAUUAAUUUUGUUGAAACCGUUUUUAUUCUGCUGAUCAUGCCAAAAUGUGUAAUUCACUUCAAUAUAACAGUUCCUUCAAAUAUUCAUCCUCACAAAAAUUUUAGUAUUUUGCCAUAUUCCGAUGGAAUUUUUAUUCAGUGCUUUUGAAAGUGUGUCAAACAGUCAAACAUUUGAAAAUGCCUGUGCCAGGGCAGGAAUAUGCCAGUUGUUGUCCAUUCGUUUGAUGUGUGUUGUCAUUUGAUUUUGCCAUUUGAUUAUGGGCCUUACGUUUUGAACAUUUUCUUGGAGUUCAUUAUUUUUGUGAUUUUAACUUUUUUCAUAUUCUAUUUACCUUAAUUAACCUUUUCAAAUAUUUACUACGUAAGCCAGAUUAUUCAUGUUUCUGUAAACUGUUAAACUGUUGAGUUUGCCUUUAUUCUUAUUGAAUGCAUUAAUUGACUUUUUUUAUAUUAAGAUAAUGCAUUUUCUGACCACGUUUGCCUCUUUUAUACAUUUCUCAAACCAUUGGGCGUACAAUAUCCCAAUGAAUGAAUUUUUUGUUCGCCGUUCCUUUAUUCUUGUGUUGUUGACAGGCAUAUUUUAUAAAGAUUAUUCCCUUGUGCAUUAGGUAUCUUGAUUAUAAUUGUUUUCAAAUUAAUAUUGGUCAAAAUUUUUAUUUUGUAGAAACAAAUUUUCAGAAAAUAUGUUUAAAAUAAUCGAUGAUUGAUUGCGGUAGUAAAAGUCUUCUAUUAAUGAAAUGUAUUCUUAAUUUGAAAAUGUAUUCAUUUCCUUUUUAGAUAUAAAAAUAUAAUUAAUUUACUAUGCAGGUACAUGUAUAUAUAUUUACAUAAUAUAGUGCAAAUAUAAUUUGUUUGGUUUAUGCGGUCUAAUAAUUUUGUUAUACAAGUCAGCUUGAGGUCUCAAAACUACUGAUUUUGUUUUUGGAUAGACAAUAUUCUGAAUAAAAAGAAUUGCUGGCAAUCAAAAUUGGUUGGGGAAAUUUAUUUGCAUCAUUGUAUUCCAAUAGGUCUGUCAUUUGUAUUAGUCAACUUGUCUUGACAUAAACAUAUAACUGAUUUACUAUGCGGCUACAUGUAUAUAAUGCAAAUAUGGUAAGUUUGGUUGAUGCGGUCAAAUAAUUUUGUUGUACCAGUCUGACAGAGGUAUCAAAACUGCUGAAAUUAAUUUACGAAACAAUAUGUCUAACAAAAAGAGGAUACACUUUAUUGAUGCACACAAUUUUGUAGUCAUUGUUUUCCAAAAUUGAUGUCAUUUGUAUUAUACAAUCCAUCCUGACAUCAAUCAUGUCAAAAUGUUUCUGUUUUACUAUGAAGUUAUAUAUAUAUUUACAAUAUAAAGUGCAAAUGUGUCAGUAUCAGUUGAUGCGUUAAAAACAGUCAGCCUAAAAAAAAGUAUCGAACCAACUGAAAUUUUGUUGUGAGACAAUAUUUUGAAUGAAAAGCGGGCAUGCAAUCUCAAUUGAUGGGAACAAAAUUUUGAAUUCAUUGUGUUACAAUGCUGCUGUCAUUUGUAUUAUACAAUCUAUCCUGACACACAAAGAUUUUUGACUUUUUUAGGCAGCUAUAUAAAUAAAUAUAUUGCCUCAUUCCCCAUUUCCAUUCUCAUUUUCAUAAUGAAGUGCACAUAUGUUCAGAUGUGUUUGAUACGUUCGAAUAAAUUUGUUGUACGAGUCAGCCUGAGGUAUUAAAACUACUUUGUUAUAUAUUAUUAAAUAUUUGUUUAUAUAAAGUAAACCCUUCUCUUAUGAUUUGUUAAUUACUUAAUAAGCUACCAAAUGUAUCUACUGUAUAUGUGGUUUAUAGACAAGUUAUGCUGCUUCUCCUAUAGAAAAUAUUUUCCAUCUUUAACAAAUCAAGAGCAUGUAGUUCAGUUGUUGCUUUGUUUUAUGUCUGUCACUUUAGUUUUUCGUAAAUUGUGUGUUUUUUUUUAAAUUAGUCAGUUCACAUGUUUCACAUUGUUUAUUGGGAACAACCAUUUCAAUUGAACUUUGAUUAACAUCUUUUUCUGCUUAAAAUCAUAUCCUUCAUGUACCUAGAUCUGUUGCAAAAUUCUAUUAACUCAAACUAUUUCUAUAAACUAUGAUGAAAGAUUUAUUAUCAAACGUUUCGAAGCAGGUACAAAAAGAAGUGCAUGUAUAUUGUCCUUCUUUUAUUAUUUUGAUGAUGAUAAAACCAAAAUUGAGUUUAUUUGCAAAUGUAAAACAAUGCAUGUGAUGUCCAGUUCCCUUUGACCGUUUUGACAAUACAUGCGUUAAACUGUGUCUUGUUGUUUGUUUCCGCUUUUCACCUGAAUUUGCUCAAAUUUAAAUUAAAAGACAUUCUUCUCUCUUUGCGGUCUACGUUUUCAGCGGUUACAAUUUAGUGUUAAUUAUGAUUUAAUUUUACAGGUAUAUAUUGUAAUUCGCUUCAAGUUUGAAAUCUUUGACACAAACGGAAGAAUAUUUGAUGUUCCAUUUUUUCGCAUUCAUUACCAUAAUAUCGAACGGAGUAUCCGGCGAGAUAAAAGGUAAAUUGUGUAACACCUGAAUACAUAGUAAACAAUGAUUGUAUGUAUAUGUAAGGUUUUUCUGCCAACAAUGAUAAGGCAAAGGUAGAGUUUAGAAAUGACGCUUAGAUUGAUACUCUAAUUGAUAAGUAUGCAAUUGAUACUGAGAGAAUGUAUCUGAUGUAAUAUACAAAUAAACAGGUGAGAUUUACAUAUGUGAAUAAAGUAUCGGAUGUACGUUAAUUAAACAACGACACACAAUAAUGUUUGCAGAUACAUUAAAUAUAAAAGAAACUGUCACUUUAUAAAUUAAUUGAUUAACCUCUCUGAACGCUCGAAGCCUAAAAAGUUGAAAGUUAAGAAUGCGUAAAUUUUUUCUAUGGUCGGGUUGUUGUCUCUUUGACACAUUCCUCAUUUCCAUUCUCAAUUUUAUUUACAUUCAAUACAUCACUAUAUCAGGUUAAACAAUAAAAAGUCCUUUUACAUAAAAUCAACAUUAAUUAACUGAAGAGAAACUAUAAAAACUGCAAGCCAUUACCAAUCUCAAAUAUAAGGCUUCAAAAUCAAUAUAUAGCUUGAUCAAAACUGAAGAAAACGUCUGUUUUGAAUUAAGAACGACAAACUUCACUUGAGGGGAGAAAGCACAAUUUAACGCUCCGAAUUUCCACAAAAUAUUAUCAUAUUUUCUACUUGCUGAUAUUUUUACAGUUUUCUGCGAUGUCAAGUCAAAUCCAGCUGUAUUUGGUAAUGACGUCAGGAUUUCCUGCCGUCACAACGGUAUUUGUUUUGAAAACUUGACAAGAACAUGGAUAACAGGUCCAAACAAAGACUUGCUUUUUAUGGAUGGAUAUAAAUCACACUUUUCAGAACGAUAUGAGGAACAUAACAUAUCCUGUUCAGAAUUUGAACUAGUAAUAGCAAAUUUUUCAAAGAGUGACUUAAACAAUACUUAUCGAUGCUCUUUUGAUUUUGAAGAAUGUGUAUUGCCGUUAUCCAUGGAAUCAGCAAAUUUUGAAUGUAAGUUAACUAUAAAUAACUAGCUAUGUUUGCAUAUAUCUUCAAUUAUUAAUCAGCGUGAAAUCUCCGUUGGAAUUUAGGGGGCAUGAACAACAGAUAAGGGAAAAACAAUUUGUAUCAUUGUCAUACCAAAAUGCAACCCAAUAAAAAGUUUGUUAGAACUUAACAUUUUGUUUGGAGUAAGGACAAUUUAUUCUAACCUCCUUAAAUAAAAGAAAAUGUGACAUAUAAUUUCAUUGGUUCACAAUGUUAAGAGUAUACUUCAUAGAAUAGAAAUGUUCACAUAUUGUUCAGCAAUUUCAUAUAAUGGAUACUGUAUUUACUAUCUUUAAUAGAUGCAGAAGAUUCCAAACGAAUAUAUAAACUCAUUUAUCAAAGACAAUCUGAAAUGACAUUAGUUAUCUACUGAAUUUUAGUCUUAAACGGACUGGUUUUUUUAUAUUAUCUGACAAUGUCUAACUUAAAUUACUUGGUUACGUUCAGUUUUUCAGUCAACUUGAUGACGUAUCCACUUUGAUAAAUACAGAACCGUUCAGAUAAUUCAUUUAAGAAAUAUUUCAUGGAAGCCAUAGAUUUGUCGGAAAUGUACACGCGAUAUUUUAUCCUGAGCGUAAGCGAAUUAUUUGAUUAUAAUGGUAAAUACUAUCUUUAAAAAAACUGAAGCGAGGGUAGGUAUGUCGAGUGUAUGGCUGUUCCAUUUUACCAACGGUUGGAUAAAUGUUCAAAACAUCUAAUAAAUAUGUAGCUUGCAUGAAUCAUUUCUUAAAUUACCGCUAGAAAAAAAAAAACACGAUUGAUUCUUUCGUUUAAUUCUUUAAACCCAACAUUUGCCAUUUUUAAUUUAUAUUUUGUUUUCUCGUAAGCUACCGUCAAAUUUACUGUUAUCAUUUUCUAUUAAACGACAGAAACACAUUGUUGACUUGCUAAAAACAGUAAAUGUGUGAAUAAUACAAUAGAAUAGAAAAAAGGUAACACGUACCUCAAAUUUUAUUUCAAUGCAAUAUUAUCCAAGUUUAAACGGUAAACGAAAUUUUUAACCAAAAAACAUUAAUGGAAUUCGUGAAAUUUUUACUUAUUUUGAGCUUUUCAUUUUUCCAUCUCUAAAAAGUAAAAUCACAAAAAUGCUGAACUCCGAGGCAAAUUCAAUCGGACAGUCCCUAAUCACAUGGCAAAAUCAAAUGACAAAUCACAUUAAACGAAUGGACGACAACUGUCAUAUUCCUGACUUGGUACAGACAUUUUAAAAUGUAGAAAAUGGUGGAUUGCACCUGGUUUUAUAGCGCUAAACCUCUCACUUUUACAACAGUCUCAUCAAAUUCCGUUAUAUUUACAAUGAUGCGUGAACAAAACAGACAUAACAAAUAAAAUAGUCAAAAUAUGGGUACAGCAGUCAUCACUGUGUUACAAUCUUAAAUAAACAAUUUUACAAAAAAGCACACAAGCAUUUAUCAAAUUAAAAACAUAUUCAUUGCUUCGCAUGUCUGACGUCAGAAAAUUUAUACGUCACAUAGGAAGAAAUUUUGUCGUUCAAUGUUCAUGAUGUUUACACAAAACAAUUUUUUUAACUUCAUAUGGGAAAUGUUGGUAUACAGGCUGUAUAAAAUUAUUUCAGAAAUAGACCGAGAUUUAAAAUUGUCCAGGAGUUCUGUAGAAUUUCUAAGAAUCCAAAAAUGGUUAGUACCUCUACUCGAUUAAAAUAACUUUGUCGUCUGUCGUUCAACGUAUUUUCUCAUUUAUAAUAGAACUAUAACAUAAUGACAUUUAAUAGAAGAAUAACAUAAUGACGGGAUAUUUUAAAGUACAGAGCCACGUUAUGAAAACAAAACAAACACAAAAAGUCGCAUAUAACAAAACACACCAGCAAAAUGAAAGAUAAUACAAAGACAUUGACGGGAUGUAUAAGUACCGAGCCACGUCAAUGGAUAGCACAGAAACAAUCCAAACAGUACAAGUAAUACAAUCAUAGAACAAAGACAAAUGAAAAACAAUAUAACACAUUGUUAAGAUGAUACACAACGUCAGUACGCAGAAUCUAUUCAUUCAGACCAUCAUGUAUUAUUUUGAAGUUGAUACGAAUAUUAUCAACAAGGUCUUGUAACUUCUGAUGAACUUUAAUAGGAAAAUGCAAGAGACGUUCUUUGACAUACCCCUGGUUUAUCAACUUUCUGCUCAGAUACUGGUGACGUUUUACAAAGUCUGAGUAGGAGCUGCAAGCUCUUGAAUAUUGAAUAAGUUGGGAAAUGUAUAUCCCAUUUUGCAGGUGAAGUUGGUAUAUUGCUACUAAGGUGGGGAAAUUUAUAAUUUCAAACUUAAAAUCGUCUCGUUUGUCAAAGAUUCUGGUACUGAGAUGAAUGUGUAUGUCAAAUUCGAGAUAUAUGUAUAAAAAUGCAUUAUUUGUAAUUCUUUUUGUUAUGCCUCAGAAUAAGAAAAAAGGUUCUGUAGGGGUUUGUUUAAUUGUAAAUUUUUACAUCGCGAAAUCGUCAUAGGGGUUGAACAUAGGUUACAAUACAUGUGGAUUUACGUGGGAGGUAUGUUUCAACAGCCAUUAUUAUGUACAUCUCUGAGUCUGCGCUAAGUAUAGAUGUAUCGAUAAUUUUAUCCGGGAGUGGAAUAAUGUAAUCCGUUAGGGGUUUGAGUGUCUGCUCCACAUCUGAAACUCGUUUGUGUUGCUAAUAACAGAACGAAUUGGAGAUAAUAAUCUUUCAAAGUAUGCGGUUGGAAAUGCAAUAAUCUUUGAACAUAUUCGUUGACAUCAAUGGAACAGAUAUGCCACAACGGUAAUCCAAUGUCAAUAUGGUGUCUAUACAAGUUUCAAAUGAUGACUUUAGCAAUAUAAAUAUAAUCCUUGGUUAAAUAAAUUCCUUAUUAACUGCAACCAUCUGUCAAAAAAUAAAGGUCGGAAUUGUAUUUAAUACAGACAGUGCUAAAGAUACUUUGAACAUAUCCGUCGUCAUCUGCAGGUUCGUCAUCUGUGAAACUGAUAUUCCGCAAUGGUCCUCCAAUUCGUUAUGGCGUCGUUCAUAUUGGGCAUGUAUUUCUGCUAUCAUAUUUAGUCAUACUCUAAAGGCUAGAUAAGAUCCGAUUGAAACAAUUCUUACUAGAGAAACACAUUAUUAGAAGCUUGGGUAUUUGUAAACAAAAUUAUUUUUUUUCUUGACAACACAAAGGUUAGCAUGUUGAUCAUAAGGUCAAAUUCAGGCGACAUAUGUUAGAAAUUCAUGUAAAUAUUUGAAGGAAUGUUAUACCAAAUUCAGUUGACCCAUAACUUCUAAUUGAAAAUAAAGUACAAUGCACAUUGAUUAAUGGAACUUAGAAACUAGAUGUUUCAAAUUUAACCACUAAGAUGAGGUCAAGGCUGAGCGACAUAUGUUAGUCUUACAUGACAUCUCACUAAAAAAAAUAAUCCGACGCUGUCUAGAAAAGCAAAGUGUUGAACUUGUUCGUGUUUGUGUACAAUGUAUGUGUACAGAUAUUCAUACAUAUGUCGUCUUGCAUUCUAAAAUCAAAGUUUGGUCAUCUCAAUAAAUGAGUACAGUCAAUUUUGAACACUGAAAAAUUGGGGAAUUCCAUUUAUUUGUGUAUCCAAUUUUUUUUCCAACGUAGUAAUACACUAUAGAAAGCUAUUAAUCCUUUUAGAGGACUGUCAAAUAUCAAACAAUUCCGGACUAUUUUUCAGGGCCUUUAAAAAAUGGCUAUGCGGUAUGGUCUUUGCUCAUCGAUCUUUAUUGAAGGCCGUACGGUGACCUAUAGUUGUUAACUAGAGUCAAGGAAAAAAAUAUACCGACGAGGUAUAUCACUGCCAUGCUGACUUUUUAAUUACAACAUAUUUGUUGAAUUUGGAUGUUUGGUCUUCAACAGACUAUUGGAAUCCCAAUGGGUACCAAUUGCGUCCUCCACUUGCAGAUUGUUUUUAUAUUUCCUCUUAAGCAGAAUUUAUCCAAGGGCUUGUACAGAAAGGAGAAAAGAAAUUAGCCAACAGUCUUUUAAUUUCACCUUUCGGUAUAUUGAUGAUGUACUGUCUUUUAAUAAUAAUAGAUUCAGUGAAUCACUACAUUUAAUAUAUCCAAGUGAACUUGAAAUUAAAAUAUACCGACACAAUAAAUAUGCUUUAUAUUUAGAAUUUUUUCUCGAAAUGACUUACUGAUGGUAGGUUGAGAAUACCGAAAUUAUGACAAAAUGCGAUGAUUUGAAUUUUCCUAUAGUCAACUUUCCAUUCUGUGUAGCAACAUCUCAGAGGCACCAGCAUAUGGAGUAUAUGUGUCUCAAAUUGAUACGUUACUCUAGAGCUAGGUCAAAGUACGUUGAUUUUUUGAAACGAGGAAUACUGCUUACCAAAAGUUGCUAAGACAGGGCUAUGAAUCAAUCAAAUUAGGUCAUCACUCAAGAAAUUUUACAGUCGCCAUCAUGAGCUGAUUGGCCAUGUUACAAAAGUGUGUCAGAGAUCAUAUCUGAUAUUCUUCCUCAGUCAUGAUAACCUUACAUCAUUACCGAACUGAACAAAGAAAUAAAACGACGGGUGCCGCAUACGGUGCAGGAAAUGCUUACCCCUUCCGAAGCACCUGAUUACACUCCCGGUUUUUAGUUGUCGUUCGUGUUUUUCUUAAUUAUUAUUUAUAACUGUUGAUGUAAAUGUCCUUUGGUUUUUUAGUCUCCUACUGCUACUCCUUGUUUUGAUUGUUAUUGUCUUCUGUGUCAUUUGAUCUUUUCUGGAUAGCUGUCUCAAUGGCAAUCAUAUCGCAUCUUCUUCUUUAUAUCUUAAAUUAAUGUAAAAACUAUUAUAUAAGUUGUUUGAUUUACAUAUCUCUAUUUGAUAAGUCUGAGAAUCAUGUAAGGGUGUUUAAUUCUGUUUUAUAUAUAUAUCUUUAUUUUAUUGUGGCUGUUGUCAUGUAGUUAUUAAUUGAAGAAUUUUACACUUCUAACGAUCUAUUAUGAUAUAAAAAUAUUAAAAUUUGGUUUGAAAUGUAAUUUCUAGUGUUAAAUGAUAGCAAAUUGUUUUUUGUUUAAAAUAAAUAUAAGAUUUCUUCACAAUUAUGAUUAAAAUAAGGGAGAUAAUUUAUAACUUCCGGUCAGAAAAAUGUUUUUUCCAGUAUUAUUUGAAAGUUUUUUUUACACUUCUUAUUAAAUAAGUACAAAAACAAAAUACUUCAGGUUUUCACAAGCUUACUUCGGGUUUGCAAUUUCAUUGUUAUAUUGCUGGUUAUGCACUAAGUUCUUUGGUUCUAUGAUGUAUAAAUGACAAUUUACUACAAAUAUGUUGUCAAUAUUUUAUUUUAACAGUUGAUGAAAAGGCGUAAGUAUAAGCCAAAAUCAAAUUUAGAAUAUGAUCUUGACCUUCGACUUUGACCUAAUUCUUUAUUUUUACAAAGAUCUCAAAUCAAAACACAUUAGGUCGCUAUCUCUUAUGGUUUACCAGCACUUAUAUCAAAUGUAAUAGGGGAAAUUUCUCUCAUAUGUAGUCUCUUGAUAGAUUUGAUUUAAACGAUCAUUAUAAUUCUGUAGAUAUGACGAGCAAUUUGCAAAAAAUACAUUUUGCACUUCUAGUUUUCUGUUUCAAUGUCAUUUGGCUAGUAAUUCAAUGUUUAAAAAGUAAAAACACAAAAUACUGAACUCCGAGGAAAUUCAAAAAUCCAAAUCAAAUUUAAGUUUUAUGGUUUUAUGAUGUUUCAAUAUGAAUUGAACGCAAAGGUCAAAACCUAGAACGUCAAAUACAAUUAUAACCGAGACCCUUGCUCUUAAAAUAUAUAUGUUAUAUCAUCUUACCGGUAAUAUGAAAUAAGAGUGGGGGAGAAAACUCCAAUUAAAUAUCAACGUACUGUUAAACGAAAAUGUAUGUGAUACCACAUUUCAUAACAAACAAUUAAAAAAAAUAUGCUGACGAUAUACAGUUUUGAAGAGUGAAAAUAAGAAAAUAUCAAAUUUCAGAAAAUGACCUUCACAUUUGACCUUCACAUUUUAUCCAUUUUUCGGGAUAAAGGGCACCAAUUUUUUGCCUUAAACUAAGUACCAAAAAAAAAACACUCCUGGUUUUCAUAAGGUCACUUCCAGUUUGCUUUGUCAAGGCCAUCUGGCUUGUAAUAUAAUGUUAUAGUUUUGUGUCCUUAUAAUGCACCAAUAUAAAUUGAAACGCAAAGGUUAAAAUAUAGAACGUCAAAUACACUUAUGACCUUGACCAUUUUGUCUUUAAAAUAUAUAUCAGUUAUAUCAUUAUACGGGUAAUAUAAAAUACGAGAGGGGGAGAAAACUCAAGUUAAAUAUAAACGUACAGUUAAACGAAAAUGUAUGUGAUACAACUUUUCAUAACUAAAACUUAAAUAAAAAUAUGUUGACGAAAUACUAUGAAAAAAAGCAAAAAUCAAAUUUCAGAAUAUGAUCUUGACCUUUGACCUUGGAUGUUUUUUCUAUUUUUUUGGGACCAAGGACCCAAAAUAUAAAGGCACUUGGUCUCUCUCACUUUUGGAUUACCAGUUAAAAAUUAAAAUUUCUUAUAUCGAUUCGUGAGGUGAAGUAAUAAAUUUCAGCUUUAUUUCCAAGUACUUUGUUUGCAAUUAGACUAUUUAUUUAUUCAGUAUUUUAUUCAUUAACAGAUCAUCCACAUGCCUAUGAAAUAGAAAAAGACAUCACGAUAUCAGAUGAUUUGUUUUCCUUGGUUUGUGGAUAUGUCUCCUGUUUAUCCAUCCAAAAUGUACCGUCUUCUAUGGGGUGAGUCAUGCAUCAUUCAUCAUCAAUCAUUUCAUCGUCGUCGUCGUCGUCGUCUCGUCGUCGUCCUCCUCCUCUCUCCUCCUCCUCCUCCUCCUCCUCCUUCCUCCUCCUCGCCUCUCCUCCUCCUCCUCAUCCUCCUCCUUCCUCACUCCGCCUCCUCCUCACUCAUCAUCAAUCAUCAUCUAUCAUCAUCAUCAUCAUCAUCAUCAUCAUCAUCAUUCAUCAUCAUCAUCAUCAUCAUCAUCAUCAUCAUCAUCAUCAUCAUCAUCAUCAUCAUCAUCAUCAUCAUCAUCAUCAUCAUCAUCAUCAUCAUCAUCUUGAUUUGAGGUCCUUGGUCGAAUAAAAAAAAACUUACGUCAAUUUCAUUUGUCAAGGUAAUAUUCUUAAUUUUAACUUUGGCUUAUUCCCAAUAUAAAGAAUUAUACAUUAAGUGUUAAAACCUAUUUACCAUACACAUUUAAUACCUAGGGUGAUCUGAUUUGAGAUUUUUUUUUGUUGAUGAACUUGAAAAAAGCAAACUAGAAACUUGAAGUGGUUUUUCUGUACUAAAUUUGUGUAUAAAUAUAAAGCACAAUAUAUUUUUGAAAGCAUUGUCAAAUUAACAACCAAAUAAUACAGGAAGGGACAUUUUCAGGCCGGACGUAACAAAUUUACCUCCCUUACUUGAAACAAAAUUGUAUAAAACCAUAUUUUUGGAAUCAGAAAAGAAUGAGCUAUCAUUAAAUAUUUAAUCUGACAUUCUAAACCGAUUUUUUAUAUUUUCAUAUCAAACUAUACCGUUAGGGGUGAAAAGACCUUUAAUUGUUCUCUGAACAUUUGGUUUUUUUUGGGGGAGUAUCUUUUCGUCCUUUUAAUUUUUUUGCAAUGGUAAUAUCACUUUAAUUUAGUCUUUCGAUAUCAUUUUGGUAUAUUAAUUUCUUACUUUUUUUUAUCUAUGCAUUGUUUUUCAACAUAUUUGCACAUAAUUACCUUGGAAAUAAAUUCUUUUUGACAUAAUUGGUUUCACUAGGUGAGAACAAUUCAGGUAAAUAAUUUUUAUACAAAUCUUAAACCCAAUAUUCUGUUAUAAGACAACAAUACGAAAGAACAUGCUAAUAAUUAUCACUCUAUUUUUUAGGACACACCUUUGAAUGUCUUCAUACAGGAGAGUACAACUCGACUUGGGUAUUUUUAUCGAACAAUACUGAGACUGGUUUAUAAAGCAUCAGUGAAAUCCUGUCCAAUCGUGGUAAAUGUCACGUGUUUAAUAGGGAGCACAAACAUUCAUCUCGCAAGAUCAGAGUACAGAAACUGUUCAAGUAAGUGGUAUCUGAUUUUUUGAAUAUGGAAAAAUAUUUGUAUGACUUGCUAUCAUAUACAUGAAUAAAGUGUAGAUUUCUUACCGGAAAAGAUUAUCUACAAUUGCUCAAAAUGUUAUCAAUUUACAAAAAACAUAUCUUAAAUAACACCAAUUAAUAGCCAACUACUGAAAUACAGGCACAUAAGGAAUUGGGCAAGUUAAAUAUGUUUGUGGGUGCUUAAUUUUCCCCUAACAUGUUGCCACGAAACAUAAAUACAAACUGUAAACAUAUGUAAACAUCUGUUGAAAAUCAUUCGAUUAAUCACAGGUUUUGGGUCCUUAAUGCUCUUCAACAUUGUACUUGUUUGGCUUUUGAACUAUUUUGAUAUGAGCGUAAUUGAUGAAUUUUGUGAAGACGAAACGCGCGUAUGGCGUAUUAAAUUAUGGUCCUGGUACCUUUGAUAACUAUUUUACACCUCUGGGUCGAUGCCACUGUUUGUGGACGUUUCGUCCCCCGAGGAUAUUACCAGCUAAGUAGUCAGCACUUCAGUGUUGACAUGAAUAUCAAAUAAGUGGUAAUUUUUAUAAAUUUCCUCUUCACAAAACUUUGAAUUUUCGAAAAACUAAGGACUUUCUUAUCGCAGGAGCAGAUUACCUUAGCCGUUUUUGGCACAACUUUUUUGAAUUUUGGGUCCUAAAUGCCCUUCAACUUUGUACUUGUUUGGCUUUUGAAAUCUUUUGAUAUGCGCGUCAUUGAUGAGUCUUAUGUAGACGAAACGCGCGUCUGGCGUAUUAAAUUAUAAUCCUGGUACCUUUGAUAACUUUUUUAGUUUAAGGACGCCAUUGACAGUCCACCCACAAAAAUUAUGAACAUGUGCAAUGCCUUAAUAUAAGGGGUUUAAUAACAUUAAGAGGACAGUUGCAUGUCCCUUCAAAUGUGCCUAUGCUCAAUGUGGCCUAUUUUACAUUGCGACAUUUUGAUGGAACGUAUAUUUGUACUAUGAGUAGUGCAUGUAUAGAAGGAGACUUUAUACCUCUUGACGUUUCCGCUAUCGUUCAAGUUAUCUUGUUUUGAAUACAAAAUUUCAUUUCAGAAUAUCGACCAUCAUCUCAUUACUGUUGAUAUGCCUCUGACAUAUUUUAAUUUUUAAAAUGUGAUAAUACUUUUUCUACAGAAAAUAAAAACGUAAAAUGUCAAGACAGUAAUCGAUCGUCUGAACAUAUUUUUCAAACUUAAACUGUUUUAUAAAAUAGGAUAAGGCUGAUUAUUGCUUAUGUCGAUUUUAUUUUCAUAAUUAUGAUGUUAAUUUCUACAUAGACAAACUGUAAACAGUGAAAGUAUUCAUAAUACUUGAAUCUACAAAAGAACCAAAGAAGAGUUAUUACACCUAUGUUGUAUUUGCUUCCAAUCUAUAACAGAAAAAGUAGAAAAUAUUAUACAAAAUCAGCUAGAUAAGAUAUACAAAUAAGCAAAAAUAACCGACUAUUAGAAGAAAGGUACACCUUAAAACGAAAGUGUCAUACAUUUGCAAGAUAAAUUAUUCGUACUCGUUAGACAUGUUAGAGUUGUGUUUUGUUUCAUUCCAGAUAUUAUUAUCAUAAUUGUUUUGCGUUAGUGUUACCCUUGAUGUGGCAAUAAUUUUUGGUAGGAAUUGAAGCACCAUAUUCAUAAUAUUCUAAGUUUGUGCACAUGAUCAAGGUUUUCACAGCCCUAUAAAACAACUGACCAAUAAAACACGUACUUGUGUGAUUACAUUUGGAUCUCUUAGACGGUUUGAAACUGUAUUAUAGCAAAUAUGCAUGUUUUCAUUAGGUUUUUGUUUAUUUUCAAUUUAGAUGUAGAAAAUGAUAUAUUGGUUACACUUGACUUGACACAAAAGACGAUAUUGUGUAUAUUUGUGGGUGUCUGUUUAGUCCUUGUUCUUUUGAGCAUAAUUCGGAACUGGAAGCUUAUUACUGCGACAU
rnacentral:lncRNA from 1 species